UUUGAUGAGAAUCAACCUCACUCUGUCUCAGUGGUAGAGAUCAGUGAAAAUAUUUCUGUCUUCUUGCCACUAGAUAUAUGUGAUUCAAACUUGGAGAACUGAAAGCACAAAUCGAAGGAGCAUUCUUUCUCUUGGCAGGAGAGG
rfam:Myotis davidii contig74811, whole genome shotgun sequence.